UUUGUCCUUUAUAUAUUUUUGAAUGCAGGUAUUUCAUCACAGAUUACACUUACUGAGUCUGGUGAUGGCCUUAAGAAGCCAGGAGAUACUCUACUGUUGACUUGUACAGUCUCUGGAUUUGCCAUCACAAGUUAUGGAGUGUCCUGGAUCCGUCAGACCCCUGGAAAGACAUUGGAAUGGAAUGGUGCUAUCUGGGCUGAUGAUGGUAAGUAUUAUAACAGUGCUCUCCAGAAUUGGAUCACAAUCACAAGGGAUACAUCCAAAAACCAGGUGUUCCUUCAAUUGACUGGUUUAAAGCCUGAGGACACCGGCACUUAUUACUGUGCAGGAUACACAGUGAAGAAAUGCUUUGCUCUAGCAGCCUAA